rnacentral:rRNA from 1 species
UACGGGAGGCAGCAGUGGGGAAUAUUGCACAAUGGGCGCAAGCCUGAUGCAGCCAUGCCGCGUGUAUGAAGAAGGCCUUCGGGUUGUAAAGUACUUUCAGCGGGGAGGAAGGCGAUGUGGUUAAUAACCGCAUCGAUUGACGUUACCCGCAGAAGAAGCACCGGCUAACUCCGUGCCAGCAGCCGCGGUAAUACGGAGGGUGCAAGCGUUAAUCGGAAUUACUGGGCGUAAAGCGCACGCAGGCGGUCUGUCAAGUCGGAUGUGAAAUCCCCGGGCUUAACCUGGGAACUGCAUUCGAAACUGGCAGGCUAGAGUCUUGUAGAGGGGGUAGAAUUCCAGGUGUAGCGGUGAAAUGCGUAGAGAUCUGGAGGAAUACCGGUGGCGAAGGCGGCCCCUGGACAAAGCUGACGCUCAGGUGCGAAAGCGUGGGGAGCAAACAGGGAUUAGAUAACCCGU